UCCGGAAUGGUGUAGUGGCUAGCAUUUCUGCCUCUCAUGAUCUGUCUAACGACAGUGAACUUGUUCGCAGGAGACCGGGGUUCAAUUCCCCGUUCCGGAA
rnacentral:tRNA from 1 species